CCCUUAGAUGUCCUGGGCCGCACGCGCGUUACACUGAUGCAUUCAACGAGCUUAUAACCUUGGCCGAGAGGCCUGGGCAAUCUUGUUAACGUGCAUCGUGAUAGGGAUAGAUUAUGGAAAUUAUUAAUCUUGAACGAGGAAUUCCUAGUAAACGCAGAUCAUCAAUCUGCAUUGAUUACGUCCCUGCCCUUUGUACACACCGCCCGUCGCACCUACCGAUUGGAUGGUCCGGUGAAGCCUCGGGAUUGUGGUUCUUGCCGCUUUAUUGUGGCGUGACCGCGAGAACUUGUCUAAACCUUAUCAUCUAGAGGAAGGUGAAGUCGUAACA
rnacentral:rRNA from 1 species